CUUCUCUCUCCGCCAUUGCUGUUUUUGGAAUCGAAGCUCAUUUUACAUGGUGAUGUUGGAGCCAACUUGAGUGCACCACGGCUAAUCCCACAGGUUACCUGCUGCCUCCCGUCAAGAGAGGUAAAGGUAACCUUGCUUGCCAAGAAUUACGCAGAUUAAAGGAAUUCACCCCGAUUCUGCGGGAAUCUGUGCAAUCGAGGAUCCUUGACUUAUUUGAAAGCUGCUAUCUUAAAUCAGUUUGGAUUAGCAAUGCCUCCAAAUCCUAGGGUCGAUCGUGCUUUUCGUUCUAUGAAAGCUCUUGGUAUUUCUGGAGAGAAGGUGAAGCCAGUGUUGAAGAAUCUUUUAAGAUUGUAUAACAAAAACUGGGACCUUAUAGAAGCUGAGAACUAUAGGGUCCUUGCCGAUGCAAUAUUUGAUGAUGAUGAAGCAAAGGAUGCAGAAAUUAAAAAGUCAACUGAGG
rnacentral:misc_RNA from 1 species